ACAGCCGAGAGAGAGACCGAGGGCGCCGACCGGCACUGGACGGCGUCGACGCGUGGCCUCGACGUGGCAGCGCCGAACCGAGGCUUCACCUCCACCCAGCUGCAUCGCCUCCUCCCCAUUACCACUCCUGAGCCAAGCAAACCGAGGGGGAGAGCUCCGGCUUUUCUUUUUCAUCUCGACCUUGCCGCCGGCCGUGAAGACGACGGCCGUCGCCAUCGCCAUUGUACCUGCAGCCACGAGAACGCAGAGCUCGCCGACGAUGCUCUGGAGCGCGCACUGGACGCCGUCGUCGGGUUCUCGUCGUCGUUUUGACCGAACCGAACCACCCCAAGCCGAACACUUGCGCCACCAGGAUAGCCUCGACGUCCUCUUCGAAAGCCCUCAAGAACUCCAGCCAGUGCCGCAACGACGAGGGAGAUCGGCGUCUUCUUCCUCAAGUCCGGCCGCCGACCACCGUCGUUGAUUCCUUGAUCCCGGGUGAGCUUCGGCGCAAUUCCUCACUCGUGUAGCAUCUUUAGAUGAUCGUUGAGCCGUUCCACUCUUUUUCAUGACAGCUCGAAGUCCGGAUGGUGGUUGUUACCGUUGCCAUGCCGAUUUCCGCCGUGGGGAUAUCCUCUGCAUCAUCGUCACUAUCCAGGCCUACCCGUACCUCGUCCGAGAUUUGAUAAUUGCUUAAUCGGUGAAGAAGUGAAUUAGGUGCUGACAUUUUCCAAAUUCAAGGCAAGUCCCACCUCCCUCUCUUUGAUCACAUUGAACCUAUGUUUUGGAGAUUAUUGAAAAUGUUUGCAAAUCUUGCAUGUCGAUUGUACACUAAUAAAUUAAAAUUUUGUUAAACUUGAUAGACAAACUCGUACUACUUGCAUUAUCAUCUUAACUGCACAUAUAUCCAUAUCCCUCAUUCCUAACCUUAGGAACAAUAUGACUAUACCACUUUAUAUAUGAGUUUUGGUGACACUAGGUUACUAUAAUGCUUAGCCAUGCUUAGAAUGGUCUUCCUUGUCAUUAUGGGCUCAUUACAAAUAUGAAAAUUGAUUUUUAAAUAAUCUUGACAGAACUUUAAUACUUGUGAUUUUGAUAAAUAAAAUGGUGGAAAACAUGGAUUUUAGGUUUAGGCCUUAAGUGGUGCACAUAUAGUGAUUAGUUGUGUACCGAUAGGGAGAGAGUGUGCCCAAACCGACCUAAGGACUUCACUCAAUGUCAGUUCAUUUCGUAUACAAUACAACCACAUAUGCUAGUAUGGGAUAGCCCAAGCUUAGUAAAUUAUUUAUGUUUUAGCCUUACAUUCUGGUAGGUCGGUGUGUAUGAGUUCGUAUAAUUCAGAGGAGCUUCCUAUUUACCCUGAAGUAGUAGUUUAGGUGACUAAGCGUGUCCAAUACAAUGGUAUUGUGCCACGUGGUGGGUUCCCAUUGUGUCCGCCACCACGGCGUUAAGUUUAAGGCGUGGGCCCGCCACUUAACAGUUCUAGGUCAUAUUUCCAGUAUGACUAGGAUGGAGGAACACGUAUCGUGCUGGUGUAAGGCUAAAUCAUGAAUUUUGGAAAAGCUUUGUUGUAGGUAAUAAAUCAGGUACUUAUGUAUCACAUGCCAUGCUCUUGAAUGAUUAUUAUUUCGCAUUAUGUGGGUAAAGUGUACAAACUCUGCAGAGUAAAAACUAAUCGAUUAGCUGUGCUCGCGGUCAUGAGCGGCGUGUGGAUAUGUAUUGAGUAUAGACUUACCUUCAAAUUGUGAUGAGAUUUGAGAAUCAUCUCCUUGCUGCCAUGGAUGGCAAUGAGGUGCAUAUUUACACAUGAUUAAUGUCUACUUUGAUGCUCAUAUGCUAAAAUACUAGCUUGCUGAAAUUUAUUUGAAAGCAAAUCUUAUUUGAAAGUGUUUUAUGCAAAUAAAACUUGCUUUAUGCUAAAAAGAACCAUAUUAUGCCUUCCUUGAUUAUAUGCCUUGCAAGUAGGGUGUUAGGUUUGUCUUGGUGCUUGCCAGUACAUUAUUUCUAAUAAUGUGCUGACUCUUUCUGUCGGAGAUAUGGGCCCGGGGGUAUAUGAAGUGAGGGGAAGUUACCUUCCCAUCCAGCCGUGUGGCUCUACAGCCUAACCCUACUCCCGCACCUCGCGAGUCACAGAAGCAGCCGGGGGGCCUCGGGAUGCCACGUCGUGCCCCUCUGGCUCGCCCGCUACCUCG